UACAGGGGGUGCAAACGUUGCUCGGAAUCAUUGGGCGUAAAGCGCACGUAGGCGGUUCGUUAAGUCGGAUGUGAAAGCCCUCGGCUCAACUGAGGAAGUGCACCCGAAACUGGCGAGCUUGAGUACGAAAAGAGGAUCGCGGAAUUCCUGGUGUAGCGGUGAAAUGCGCAGAUAUCAGGAGGAACACCGGUGGCGAAGGCGGGUCUCUGGGCCGAUACUGACGCUGAGGAGCGAAAGCGUGGGGAGCGAACAGG
rnacentral:rRNA from 1 species